GUUAACUGCAACUGAGCUGCACACAGAGGCUUUGUGCUGGGGAUCUCUCUGAGAGUGCUGAAGACAAUGGGGCUAUUCUUGAUUUAUCAUGAGGCACCACCAUAACAAUUAACCACCAUAAUGACAACAGUAUGGACAACCUGCUCCCACCUGCACUUUGAUGUGAAGAUUUCUAAAGCACCAGAUCACUCCUGGCAAUCCCUCUAUAACAUGAAACACCACCCUCCUCCAACAUCAAAAGUUAGAACAUCUUUGUCUGAAAAAAUUCAUUUGCACGAUAGCAUCUGCACACUGUGUUCCGCUCAGAGGGAGAAACAUGUUUAUGAAUGCCAGUGAGGAGCGCACUCACAGAUGUGAAUAUGAAUAUGAAUAGGCUGUGACAUGCAGGGCGAGCAACCUCUUCAAUUCUGGAUGCAAUCCCAUUUGCUAAGGUACACAACCAGAAGGGACAGGCUUACAUCCUUAGCCUGUCCAAAAGGUCUUUACACGAGCUGCAGUCUGCUCCAGGAAUUCUGGUUCUCCUUUGUCUCAAAACUUCCAAGAUGAAGUGGAAGGUCAAAGGAGCUCACUGCCCCUUGGCUGGUGCACACAUCCCAAAGCUACAUUACAGAAGAGUCACAAAUGAGGACAAAAGGAUGCAGAAGAGCAACAGAAAGGAGCUGAACUCGCAAACAGGGCAGAGCUGCUCUCUGUGGGGAUGUCAGAAAGGCCUUUUAAUUCUAAACCAGCCUGUGGUGCUUGCGCUGGCUUAGCUGCACGGGGGAUUUCCAUCCAUCCCCAGCUUGCCCCAGCAAAGCCGAGCUCCGACCUCCCUGGGGAACAGCAGCAGGGGCGGCCACAGCCCGGGGAGCCCCAGGCCACUGCUGCCAUCCAGCCGCCCCCUCCUCCCCGCUGACCCACAGCGGGGCACUUCUCCGGGCUAACGCUGGUUGCAUAAUGCUACCUCAUUAAAAAUGAACAGGAUAACAGAAAAGGGAGGGCUAAAAACACAGGCCCAAUGAACCUGCUGAAAAGGUAGCUUCUUUGUCAGGUCUUAAACCCCUGCUCACCUCACAGUGUUUAUAUCUGCGAGGGCGUGCACACCACUGUUUUACACAGGUCUAAUAUAUGCAUGGCAGCGUGCCCUUGGCUUUUUCUUUUUAUUUAAUCUUUGACUUGACAGUGUUGUAACUUGCUUCCCUGUGAAACCGGAGAAGAAGGGAUUGUUGUGUGCAUCAGGUUUUGCUUUUGUUUCUAUCCCUUUUAUUGAGUUACAUAAAGAAACUCUUAAGCUGCUUCUGGCUGCUCAUAAGCACUCAGGUGUCUGAUUCUGUCUUCUGGGACAUUAAGGACCUCAGUUGCACCUCAGUGCAACAGCCACCAUACUGGCCACCACUGGAAUGGUGGUUCAGGAUGCUGCCGAGGGCAACUGGUCCAGCAGGGAGCCCUAUUCUUUACAUCAGCUGAGAGACCUGCCCUUCACACUUGCUGGUUUGCAUCUGUAAUUCCUUUAAAGGGGAGUCCCUGUGGUGUCUUUGGGAUUUUCUUCUGGACAAUUUCAGGAUGGACAUCUUCUCUAAAUCCCUUCUCCCAUCAGACAACAGUCUUUCAAACCAGAUAGUGGCCUGGUCACAAAACACCCACUAGAGAAUUAACAAUCAGCUUUGUGAUUUUCUGCGUCGAUAACAGACAUCGUAGAAAAUGGAGCUAGAAGAAACUGUUAAAGGUCAUCUUGCCCUUCCACCAGCCUCCAGAUAUGAUCAGCUGUGCUGAAGACGCUGGAUUUGAGACAGUUAUCUGCUGCUAAAGCUACUUAGCUGCUGCUAAAGCCUUCCCACAACGGCACUUUCACACAGCAAACCAUCCCAAUGGUGCACAAGUCCACAACUGGAGAAUGCCUCUUAAUAUCUCACCUGAAUUCCCUUUAUUGCACUUUAAGCCCGUUAGUUCCUUUCCUGUCCCCAGCAGACAUGAAGAACAGCUUAUCCUUCCUUCUUGCAGUAGUCUUUCACAUACUUGAAGGGUAUUAUCACAUGUACCCAUCUUCAGUUCCCUACUCUAAACAAACCCAACUCUUUCACUCUUUCCUCAUAGCUCAUGUUUUCUAGCCCUCUGAUCACUCUUAUUCCUGCCUGCUGGACUCUCUCCAGUUGGUCAACGUCCUUCUUGAAGCCUGAUGCUCACAAGUGGAUGCAGAUUGAUUCAACAGGCUACUCCAAGCCAAAGGACAGAGGGGAGUAGUUUCACAGUUGGGAGAUCCUCAGCACGAAUGACCCAGUCACUCUAGCUGUGGCACCUCUGUAAAAUUUGGCCCUGGGUUAGGCUGGCAAUAUCCCGGAGAAGCAGCAGUUUUAUAGAUGAAUAACAGCACCUCAGAUUCAUCCUGGAAUGUAAUAGGCAGCUGUAGCCAAAAAAAAAAAACCCAACCCAACAAAAACCACCAAUAAACACCACUAGGACUGGUAUAGUGAACUCCCUGCUAGCAAGGUAUUCAGGGACAAGUGGCAUUUUCCUGUUGUCUCAAAAAAGGAACUUCUUCCCUUUUACAUCUCAAGGCUUAUUCUUUGGGAGAGGGAAUAUGCUAGUACGUCUAUACUGCAUUUGCAAUAAGCCCAGAGCAACCCCCAGACUAGUCUGUACAUUCAGCACAGUACAAUGCCUGAAGGGAGCUGAGCUCCCUUUUGAGAUCAUGGCAUAUUGCCCUCUGAGCGGGGAAGACAGGCUUGGUCACUGGACCACAAUGACACAGCUCUUCUGCUCCUGGUCCUCCCACUAGCUCUGUGGCCAGCACUGGGAUCUUUGCAAUGUGCUUCAUCGCAUGGUGCAGAUGUGCCCCAAGGAGCUCGCUGGGUUUGUGGGAAAGGUUCUAACUCCUAGAGCAAUUUUUCAAGGCAGCAGGGUUUCUGUCUGGUUUCAUUGUCCUGUUGCAAACUUUUUUCCUUGGAAAUUGCUCUUUCCAAACUCUAACCUUAACAUCCCUCAAGAGCUUGCCCUUCAUAAGCCAAAAUCGUUAGCUUCCGUCAAGUGAAGACAAUGGAAGGACGUGUUAAAACAGCCACACUGCUACACCUCAGGCAAGGCUCAGCUCACUCUCUUCUGGGGAACUGCUCAAAUAUUUAUUGGUUAGGAUCUGCGCCAAGAUUUUUCAGUUAAUAUUUGCAAAAUUUAAUCACAACAGCCCAGAUUCGGCAUUGCCUUAAUCCCAUUGAAUUGUUCCUUAGUCUGCAGCAAGCGCCUCCGGUUUCAAUUAGACCAUUCAUGGUUAUGGGCAUUUUUGAAUAAGAAGGGAUCAAAACCUGAUUCUGGAAAUCUGGUUGCAGAAUGCAUUCAUCCAAACCAAGGCUGCAUUUCAGCUGCCCAGUCCACAGCAUAUUAUAAAAAGGGAAGAUUUAAAUACACACUGUACUGGACCAUUGUAGCAAGACUGCUUUGCAAAAGCUUCUCCCUGAAAACCUCCCUCUUUAAAUGAGAGAGAGAUCAAACCACGAAAACAAGCGGUACCAACCCCAGGAGGCAGGCUUGCCUCCUGAGUGCCAGAUAAUAAUAAAUGAUGUGUUUGUAAUCCACA